GAAGGUUUCUUUGAACGCAAGUUGCGCCCGAUGCCAUUAGGUUGAGGGCACGUCUGCCUGGGUGUCACAUAUCGAAGCCUCCUGCCAAUUUCUCUUUGAUUAUUGUGCAGGGUGGAUGUUGGCCUCCCGUGAGCUCUUUCGUCUCAUGGUUGGUUGAAAAUUGAGACCUUGGUAGGGUGUGCCAUGAUAGAUGGUGGUUGUGUGAUCCACGAGACCAAUCAUGUGCUGCUCUAUUAAAUAUGGCCUCUUUUACCCAUAUGCGUUUCUAAACGCUCGUGAUGAGACCUCAGGUCAGGCGGGGCUACCCGCUGAAUUUAAGCAUAUCAAUAAGCGGAGGAAAAGAAACUAACAAGGAUUCCCUUAGUAACGGCGAGCGAACCGGGAUAAGCCCACCAUGAGAAUCGGUCGCCCUCGGCGUUCGAAUUGUAGUUGAAAAAAAGCGUCAAAAUUGG
rnacentral:rRNA from 1 species